CCUACGGGAGGCAGCAGUGGGGAAUAUUGCUCAAUGGGGGAAACGCUGAAGCAGCCACGCCGCGUGGAGGAUGAAGGUUUUCGGAUUGUAAACUCCUUUUGUUAGAGAAGAUAAUGACGGUAUCUAACGAAUAAGCACCGGCUAACCCCGUGCCAGCAGCCGCGGUAAUACGGAGGGUGCAAGCGUUACUCGGAUUCACUGGGCGUAAGGAGCGCGUAGGGGGGAUAGCAAGUCAGAUGUGAAAGCCUAUGGCUUAACCAUAGAAUUGCAAUUGAAACUGUUAUUCUAGAGUGUGGAAGAGGUAGGUGGAAUGCUUGGUGUAGCGGUGAAAUCCAUAGAGAUCAAGCAGAAUACUGAUUGCGAAGGCGGCCUGCUAGAACAUAACUGACGCUGAUGCACGAAAGCGUGGGGAGCAAACAGGAUUAGAUACCCGAGUAGUC
rnacentral:rRNA from 1 species